rnacentral:rRNA from 1 species
GACGAACGCUGGCGGCGUGCCUAAUACAUGCAAGUAGGACGCAGUUGCGAACGGGUGAGUAACGCGUAGGUAACUACCUAUUAGAGGGGGAUAACUAUUGGAAACGAUAGCUAAUACCGCAUACUAGUAGAUGGACCUGCGUUGUAUUAGCUAUUAGGUCUGGUAAUGGCCUACCUAGGAAAAGAUACAUAGCCGACCUUAGAGGGGGAUCGGACACACUGGGACUGAGAAACGGCCCAGACUCCUACGGGAGGCAGCCGUAGGGAAGCUUCGGCAAUGGGGGGAACCCUGACCGAGCAACGCCGCGUGAGUGAAGAAGGUGGUCGGAUCGUAAAGCUCUGUUGUGAAGGAAGCGGUACUUAACCAGAAAGGGACGGCUAACUACGUGCCAGCAGCCGCGGUAAUAC